UUUAUGUGUUUUCAAAAAAAGAUAGGUGAUGCUCUUACAGAGAAUAAGUAUAACAUCCUUAAGAAGGAUAAAGGUAAAAAAAUAUUGCCUUGAAUUGGAACCAACCACCAAACUAACCUCACUCCCCUCCAAAAAAAAAUCACAGUCAAGCUACUCCUUCCAGCAAACACCAUAAGACUUCCUCCGCUUUCACUUGAAGUUUUCGGGACAACCACCAUGGUUAGCAGCUCCGUCUUCCUCUCUCAACUUCAAUCAUCACUUGCACACAAGAGUACUUCGUCACCUAUUUUGUUCCGCCGUCGGUGAGGUUUCUCUCAUUUUUCUUUUUGUCUGUUGUUGUAUUAUGUUGGAUUUAUGCUAAGGAAGUUGUUGUUAUCGCAUGGUCUAAAGUGAAAUUUAUUGGCCCAAGCUUCUGUUUAAUCAAUAGGUGUGUGUUUAUUUUUAUAAAUAUUUUAAGUCAUUUUUUGUGUAG
rnacentral:lncRNA from 1 species